GCAAAGGCCUCAAAAAUUGAUGAAAAAUUUCUUCCUCGGCCCAUAAUAUAAAAUAAUAAAGUUGAUAAAAUAAAGUUAUUUUUUUUUUAUAAUAAGGUGGAUUUAAAUAUCCAGACGGAGAAAUAAUUUCAUUGGCUAUGUAGUACUUCCUCCGUUUCAAAUUAUGUGUCUUUAUUUUUUUUUUUAGUCCGUCCCAAAAUAAAUAUGCCUUUUCUUAUUAGGCAACUUUUUAAAAAUAUAAUUACCCUUUUACCCUUAUUUAAUCUCACUUAAUUAAAAAAAAAUAUUAUCACAUUUUUUAAUAAAAAAUAAUUUGAUAAAUUUUAACAAAUAUUCCUUUUUUCUUAAAUUUCGUGUCCGACGACGGAGGGAAUAACAUUCAUCGCCAGUAUAAUAAUUAAUGAAGCGAACACCCAAAACAGUACGAAAAUCAGUCAACCAACCGCAAAACAAAAACAAUUACCGAAGAAAAUUUUCAAGUCAGAAUUGACCCCAAUCAACUAAACAGCUCAAAGAAUAGCAAAAAGUUAUAUCAGCAGUAUAGAGACAACUAAAAAAUAACCCAAAAAUCAAGAGCAGAUAUGUAAAUAACCGUCGGAAUCGAUGGAGUUCACCAGAAAAUAUGCAACUUCGGCCAAAUAAUAUCAGAAAUCAUAUUUAACAAAUACAUCAAGAUAAAAAAGUGACGAGUAGUGACGUUGCUUCAACGACUUUUGUCGGAGCAAUGCCAAAAACCAAGAUCCGGCCAGAUUCGUGCAUCAAUGGUAAAAAUACCAUUUUUACAUAAAUAAUAAUGAACCCAAGGGAGAUGGCAGGGACUUCCGCAAAUGAUGGUGGCCGGAGGUAUCUCGCCGGUCAUUACCUCCGGCGAGAGGUGACAGAAACGGGAAGGGGAAGAGAGGGGGGUGGCGCAGUGGUGUUGGUGUUCGGCGACGGGAAGAAGGGAGGAAGAGGGGGAUGGGCAGCGCGGUUGUGGGGGUGGUGGUGUUGUGGUGGUGGCCGGAGCUCCGGUCGGCAGUGGUGAGGGUGAAAGGAGAGGCGUUAGAGGGAGAUCAGAUUUUGGUGCGUGUGGUUUUUUGUGUGUGUGUUAUGCGUGUAGUGUGUGUAGUGUGAUUAUUUAAAAUGGAAAAAGUAACUAAUCAAAUCUUUUCUUGUUUUUAGCAAAUAUCUUAAAAUUUGGGUAGUAG
rnacentral:lncRNA from 1 species